rnacentral:tRNA from 3 species
CGGAGCGUGGCGCAGCCUGGUAGCGCAUCUGGUUUGGGACCAGAGGGUCGUAGGUUCGAAUCCUAUCGCUCCGACCA